rnacentral:lncRNA from 1 species
GAGAGUUGUAACUGGGAACUUUAUCAAUGGAAAUUUAAAAUUAAAUGGAUUUUUCAGUCCUAACUUUCUUAAGAAAAAAAUUAAAAAUCUUAGAGUUCUGUCAAAAAAAAUGGAAAAUGGCCUAGCCUGCAGUUCAGUGGUACACAAUUAAGAUUUCAGAAAACAUUGUAGUUGUUGUUAAAUGACAGAAAUCAGUUGAAUUUUACAUAAUUAACUAUCAACUUUAAUCGACUGUUUAGAUUUAGAAGAUGCAUAUCUCUUGGUCCAAAUUGAAUCCUAAACUAAGGAAACAAAAUUAGAUUAAACAACAACAAUUGACUUCAAUAUUGUCAACCUUUCUACAUGUUCUAGCUGUUCUUUUUUUCAUUCUUUAUAUGAAGACUAUCAAAAGAACCCCCCCCCCCAAAAAAAAAAAGAGACAAGGGCCGUCUUUCCCCUCAAAGCUAUUCAGCUCUUUGAUU